rnacentral:rRNA from 1 species
AUGAACGCUAGCGACAGGCCUAACACAUGCAAGUCAGGGGCAGCACAAGGAGCAAUCUGAGGUGGCGACCGGCGCACGGGUGAGUAACACGUAUGCAACCUGCCUGUAAGCGGGGAAUAACCCGUUGAAAGACGGACUAAUACCGCAUAAUACUAAAUUACUGCAUGGUAAUUUAUUUAAACAUUUAUGGCUUACAGAUGGGCAUGCGCAUGAUUAGCUAGUUGGAGAGGUAACGGCUCCCCAAGGCAACGAUCAUUAGGGGUUCUGAGAGGAAGGUCCCCCACACUGGUACUGAGACACGGACCAGACUCCUACGGGAGGCAGCAGUGAGGAAUAUUGGCCAAUGGACGAGAGUCUGAACCAGCCAAGUCGCGUGCAGGAAGAAUGUCCCUAUGGAUUGUAAACUGCUUUUGCAGGGGAAUAAAGUGCAUCACGUGUGAUGUUUUGUAUGUACUCUGCGAAUAAGGAUCGGCUAACUCCGUGCCAGCCGCCGC